ACGUUGGUCGCACGAUCAAAGCGUCAUUAUUGUUCUGGCGUCAUUAAUUGCGUCAUAAAAUGCCUUGUUCGUUCGGCUCGCGU
ensembl:miRNA cin-mir-375 cin-mir-375